UUUUGGACAAUGGGCGAAAGCCUGAUCCAGCAAUGCCGCGUGCAGGAUGAAGGCCUUCGGGUUGUAAACUGCUUUUGUACGGAACGAAACGGUUCUCCUUAAUACGGGGGGCUAAUGACGGUACCGUAAGAAUAAGCACCGGCUAACUACGUGCCAGCAGCCGCGGUAAUACGUAGGGUGCGAGCGUUAAUCGGAAUUACUGGGCGUAAAGCGUGCGCAGGCGGUUAUAUAAGACAGAUGUGAAAUCCCCGGGCUCAACCUGGGACCUGCAUUUGUGACUGUAUAGCUAGAGUACGGUAGAGGGGGAUGGAAUUCCGCGUGUAGCAGUGAAAUGCGUAGAUAUGCGGAGGAACACCGAUGGCGAAGGCAAUCCCCUGGACCUGUACUGACGCUCAUGCACGAA
rnacentral:rRNA from 1 species